rnacentral:rRNA from 1 species
AUUGAACGCUGGCGGCAUGCUUUACACAUGCAAGUCGAACGGCAGCGCGGGCUUCGGCCUGGCGGCGAGUGGCGAACGGGUGAGUAAUGCAUCGGAACGUGCCCAGUAGUGGGGGAUAGCCCGGCGAAAGCCGGAUUAAUACCGCAUACGACCUGAGGGUGAAAGCGGGGGACCGAAAGGCCUCGCGCUAUUGGAGCGGCCGAUGUCGGAUUAGCUAGUUGGUGGGGAAAAGGCUUACCAAGGCGACGAUCCGUAGCUGGUCUGAGAGGACGACCAGCCAAACGGGGACUGGAACCCGGCCCAGCCUCCAACGGGAGGCGGCAGGGGGGAAUUUGGGACAAGGGGGGCAACCCUGACCCAGCCAUGCCGCGUGGGGGAAAAAGGCCUUCGGGUUGUAAACCGUUUUUGUUCGGAAAGAAAUCCUGUGGGCUAAAACCCCGGGGGGAUGAGGGAACCGGAAGAAUAAGCACCGGCUAACUCCGG